UGAAUACGAGAUGCUACGGCAUUGAAUCAGUGUAUGUCAGGCUUCCAAGAAAAGCUCGCAAUGUCAUAAACAAUAAAUGCCUGUACCAUAACCGACACAGGUGGGUAGGUAGAGUAUACUAAGGGGCGCGAGAUAACUCUCUCUAAGGAACUCGGCAAAAUGACUCCGUAACUUCGGGAGAAGGAGUGCCUUAUUUUAUAAGGUUGCAAUAACAAGAUCCAAGCAACUGUUUACCAAAAACACAGGUCUCCGCUAAGUCGAAAGACGAUGUAUGGGGGCUGACGCCUGCCCAGUGCCAGAAGGUUAAAGAAGUUGGUUAGCUUCGGCGAAGCUGAUGACUGAAGCCCUGGUGAACGGCGGCCGUAACAAUAACGGUCCUAAGGUAGCGAAAUUCCUUGUCGGGUAAGUUCCGACCCGCACGAAAGGCGUAAUGAUUUGGAUACUGUCUCGGAGAGGGGCUCGGUGAAAUAGACUUGUCUGUGAAGAUGCGGACUACCUGCACCUGGACAGAAAGACCCUAUGAAGCUUUACUGUAACUUGAGAUUGAAAUUGGACUUUAUUUGCGCAGUAUAGGUGGGAGACGUUGAGAAUAUUCUUGCGGGAAUAUUGGAGUCAUCAGUGAGAUACCACUCUUGUAAUGUUAGAUUUCUAACUUUGUAUCAUUAUCUGGUCAAAGGACAGUUUCAGGCGGGCAGUUUGACUGGGGCGGUCGCCUCCUAAACGGUAACGGAGGCGCACAAAGGUUUCCUCUGAACGUGUAGAAAUCGUAUCUAGAGUGUAAAGGCAUAAGGAAGCUUGACUGUGAGACCUACAAGUCGAGCAGGGACGAAAGUCGGUCUUAGUGAUCUGACGGUGCUGAGUGGAAAGGCCGUCACUCAACGGAUAAAAGUUACUCUAGGAUAACAGGCUGAUCUCCCCCAAGAGUUCACAUCGACGGGGAGGUUUGGCACCUCGAUGUCGGCUCAUCGCAUCCUGGGGCGGUAGUACGUCCCAAGGGUUGGGCUGUUCGCCCAUGAAAGCGGUACGCGAGCUGGGUUCAGAACGUCGUGAGACAGUUCGGUCCAUAUCCGGUGUAGGCGUUAGAAUAUUGAGAGGAGCCUUCUUUAGUACGAGAGGACCGAGAAGGACAUACCUCUGGUGUACCAGUUAUCGUGCCAACGGUAAACGCUGGGUAGCUAUGUAUGGAGUGGAUAACCGCUGAAAGCAUCUAAGUGGGAAGCCCACCUCAAGAUAAGUAUUCUC
rnacentral:rRNA from 1 species